AUUGAACGCUGGCGGCAUGCCUUACACAUGCAAGUCGAACGGUAACAGGUCUUCGGAUGCUGACGAGUGGCGAACGGGUGAGUAAUACAUCGGAACGUGCCCGAUCGUGGGGGAUAACGAAGCGAAAGCUUUGCUAAUACCGCAUACGAUCUACGGAUGAAAGCAGGGGACCGCAAGGCCUUGCGCGAACGGAGCGGCCGAUGGCAGAUUAGGUAGUUGGUGGGAUAAAAGCUUACCAAGCCGACGAUCUGUAGCUGGUCUGAGAGGACGACCAGCCACACUGGGACUGAGACACGGCCCAGACUCCUACGGGAGGCAGCAGUGGGGAAUUUUGGACAAUGGGCGAAAGCCUGAUCCAGCCAUGCCGCGUGCAGGAUGAAGGCCUUCGGGUUGUAAACUGCUUUUGUACGGAACGAAAAGACUCUGGUUAAUACCCUGGGGUCAUGACGGUACCGUAAGAAUAAGCACCGGCUAACUACGUGCCAGCCGCCGCGGUAAAAC
rnacentral:rRNA from 1 species